rnacentral:rRNA from 1 species
GAUGAACGCUGGCGGCAUGCCUAACACAUGCAAGUCGAACGAGCCUUCGGGCUAGUGGCGGACGGGUGAGUAACACGUUGGUACCUGCCUCAGAGUGGGGGAUAAUUCGCCGAAAGGCGGACUAAUACCCCAUAGUCUUGGCACCUUUUUGUACAGUAGCGACAGACGUACGAUCUGACCUAGUGUCUAAAAAGGUGCUAAGUAAAGAUUUAUCGCUCUGAGAGGGGCCUGCGGUGAUUAGCUUGUUGGUGAGGUAAAGGCUCACCAAGGCGAUGAUCAAUAGCUGGAUCGAGAGGUUGACCAGCCACACUGGGACUGAGAUACGGCCCAGACUCCUACGGGAGGCAGCAGUGAGGAAUUUUCCGCAUUGGGCGAAAGCCUGACGGAGCAAUGCCGCGUGAAGGAAGACGCCUUUCGGGUGUAAACUUCUUUUAUCAGGAAGAAGACAUGACGGUACCUGAUGAAA